rnacentral:rRNA from 1 species
GAUGAACGCUGACAGAAUGCUUAACACAUGCAAGUCGAUGGGGAAGUGGUGCUUGCACCAUGGCAACCAUGGCGGACGGGUGAGUAACGCGUAAGGGACUUACCUGCAGGACUGGGAUAACAGGGGGAAACUCCUGACAAGACCGGAUAAUGUCAUGGAGCUGCAUGGCUUUAUGAUGAAAGGAGACGCCUGCGGAGAGCCUUGCGUCCUAUUAGCUAGUUGGUGAGGUAAUGGCUCACCAAGGCGAAGAUAGGUAGCCGGCCUGAGAGGGUGGACGGCCACAAGGGGACUGAGAGACGGCCCUUACUACUACGGGAGGCAGCGGUGGGGAAUAUUGGACAAUGGGGGCAACCCUGAUCCAGCAAUUCUGUGUGCACGAAGAAGGUUUUCGGAUUGUAAAGUGCUUUCAGCAGGGAAGAAGUAAGUGACGGUACCUGAAGAAGAAGCGACGGCUAAAUACGUG